rnacentral:rRNA from 1 species
AUAGGACCGAUAGGGAACCAGUACCGUGAGGGAAAGGCGAAAAGAACCCCGGCGAGGGGAGUGAAAAAGAACCUGAAACCGUGUACGUACAAGCAGUGGGAGCACAGAGCAAUCUGUGUGACUGCGUACCUUUUGUAUAAUGGGUCAGCGACUUAUAUUCUGUAGCAAGGUUAACCGAAUAGGGGAGCCGAAGGGAAACCGAGUCUUAACUGGGCGUUAAGUUGCAGGGUAUAGACCCGAAACCCGGUGAUCUAGCCAUGGGCAGGUUGAAGGUUGGGUAACACUAACUGGAGGACCGAACCGACUAAUGUUGAAAAAUUAGCGGAUGACUUGUGGCUGGGGGUGAAAGGCCAAUCAAACCGGGAGAUAGCUGGUUCUCCCCGAAAGCUAUUUAGGUAGCGCCUCGUGAAUUCAUCUCCGGGGGUAGAGCACUGUUUCGGCAAGGGGGUCAUCCCGACUUACCAACCCGAUGCAAACUGCGAAUACCGGAGAAUGUUAUCACGGGAGACACACGGCGGGUGCUAACGUCCGUCGUGAAGAGGGAAACAACCCAGACCGCCAGCUAAGGUCCCAAAGUCAUGGUUAAGUGGGAAACGAUGUGGGAAGGCCCAGACAGCCAGGAUGUUGGCUUAGAAGCAGCCAUCAUUUAAAGAAAGCGUAAUAGCUCACUGGUCGAGUCGGCCUGCGCGGAAGAUGUAACGGGGCUAAACCAUGCACCGAAGCUGCGGCAGCGACGCUUAUGCGUUGUUGGGUAGGGGAGCGUUCUGUAAGCCUGCGAAGGUGUGCUGUGAGGCAUGCUGGAGGUAUCAGAAGUGCGAAUGCUGACAUAAGUAACGAUAAAGCGGGUGAAAAGCCCGCUCGCCGGAAGACCAAGGGUUCCUGUCCAACGUUAAUCGGGGCAGGGUGAGUCGACCCCUAAGGCGAGGCCGAAAGGCGUAGUCGAUGGGAAACAGGUUAAUAUUCCUGUACUUGGUGUUACUGCGAAGGGGGGACGGAGAAGGCUAUGUUGGCCGGGCGACGGUUGUCCCGGUUUAAGCGUGUAGGCUGGUUUUCCAGGCAAAUCCGGAAAAUCAAGGCUGAGGCGUGAUGACGAGGCACUACGGUGCUGAAGCAACAAAUGCCCUGCUUCCAGGAAAAGCCUCUAAGCAUCAGGUAACAUCAAAUCGUACCCCAAACCGACACAGGUGGUCAGGUAGAGAAUACCAAGGCGCUUGAGAGAACUCGGGUGAAGGAACUAGGCAAAAUGGUGCCGUAACUUCGGGAGAAGGCACGCUGAUAUGUAGGUGAAGUCCCUCGCGGAUGGAGCUGAAAUCAGUCGAAGAUACCAGCUGGCUGCAACUGUUUAUUAAAAACACAGCACUGUGCAAACACGAAAGUGGACGUAUACGGUGUGACGCCUGCCCGGUGCCGGAAGGUUAAUUGAUGGGGUUAGCGCAAGCGAAGCUCUUGAUCGAAGCCCCGGUAAACGGCGGCCGUAACUAUAACGGUCCUAAGGUAGCGAAAUUCCUUGUCGGGUAAGUUCCGACCUGCACGAAUGGCGUAAUGAUGGCCAGGCUGUCUCCACCCGAGACUCAGUGAAAUUGAACUCGCUGUGAAGAUGCAGUGUACCCGCGGCAAGACGGAAAGACCCCGUGAACCUUUACUAUAGCUUGACACUGAACAUUGAGCCUUGAUGUGUAGGAUAGGUGGGAGGCUUUGAAGUGUGGACGCCAGUCUGCAUGGAGCCGACCUUGAAAUACCACCCUUUAAUGUUUGAUGUUCUAACGUUGACCCGUAAUCCGGGUUGCGGACAGUGUCUGGUGGGUAGUUUGACUGGGGCGGUCUCCUCCUAAAGAGUAACGGAGGAGCACGAAGGUUGGCUAAUCCUGGUCGGACAUCAGGAGGUUAGUGCAAUGGCAUAAGCCAGCUUGACUGCGAGCGUGACGGCGCGAGCAGGUGCGAAAGCAGGUCAUAGUGAUCCGGUGGUUCUGAAUGGAAGGGCCAUCGCUCAACGGAUAAAAGGUACUCCGGGGAUAACAGGCUGAUACCGCCCAAGAGUUCAUAUCGACGGCGGUGUUUGGCACCUCGAUGUCGGCUCAUCACAUCCUGGGGCUGAAGUAGGUCCCAAGGGUAUGGCUGUUCGCCAUUUAAAGUGGUACGCGAGCUGGGUUUAGAACGUCGUGAGACAGUUCGGUCCCUAUCUGCCGUGGGCGCUGGAGAACUGAGGGGGGCUGCUCCUAGUACGAGAGGACCGGAGUGGACGCAUCACUGGUGUUCGGGUUGUCAUGCCAAUGGCACUGCCCGGUAGCUAAAUGCGGAAGAGAUAAGUGCUGAAAGCAUCUAAGCACGAAACUUGCCCCGAGAUGAGUUCUCCCUGACUCCUUGA